rnacentral:rRNA from 1 species
AUCUUGGACAAUGGGCGAAAGCCUGAUCCAGCCAUGCCGCGUGGAUGAUGAAGGCCCUAGGGUUGUAAAAUCCUUUCGUUGGGGACGAUAAUGACGGUACCCAAAGAAGAAGCUCCGGCUAACUUCGUGCCAGCAGCCGCGGUAAUACGAAGGGGGCUAGCGUUGUUCGGAUUUACUGGGCGUAAAGCGCGUGUAGGCGGACUGGAAAGUUGGGGGUGAAAUCCCGAGGCUCAACCUCGGAACUGCCUCCAAAACUUCCAGUCUGGACUCAAGUAGAGGCAAGUGGAAUUGCGAGUGUAGAGGUGAAAUUCGUAGAUAUUCGCAAGAACACCAGUGGCGAAGGCGGCUUACUGGUCCGGUUCUGACGCUGAGGCGCGAAAGCGUGGGGAGCAAACAGG